rnacentral:rRNA from 1 species
UACGAAGGGAGCUAGCGUUGUUCGGAAUUACUGGGCGUAAAGGGCGCGUAGGCGGUUUGGCAAGUUGGAUGUGAAAGCCCUGGGCUCAACCCGGGAAUUGCAUUCAAGACUGCCUUACUUGAAUUCGGUAGAGGUUGGUGGAAUUCCCAGUGUAGAGGUGAAAUUCGUAGAGAUUGGGAAGAACACCAGUGGCGAAGGCGGCCAACUGGACCGACAUUGACGCUGAGGCGCGAAAGCGUGGGGAUCAAACAGG